rnacentral:rRNA from 1 species
UACGUAGGGUGCAAGCGUUGUCCGGAAUUAUUGGGCGUAAAGAGCUCGUAGGCGGUCUGUCACGUCGGCUGUGAAAACCCGAGGCUCAACCUCGGGCCUGCAGUCGAUACGGGCAGACUAGAGUUCGGCAGGGGAGACUGGAAUUCCUGGUGUAGCGGUGAAAUGCGCAGAUAUCAGGAGGAACACCGGUGGCGAAGGCGGGUCUCUGGGCCGACACUGACGCUGAGGAGCGAAAGCGUGGGGAGCGAACAGG